ACACACACACAGAAAUGUUGCUCUGUAAAUGUUCUGCACACACGGUUAUGAUAAUGCCAUGUUAUUUUGGUCAUUUUAUUUGACAGCAUGAGAUUCUGGAUGUCGUGUAAAUUAUUUCAUUGUUUUGUUUUGCUCCCUCUCUGUUAGACCCUGUAUAGGUGUGUUUUAGAAGAUCUGUACGAGUUCCCCACGCUUGAGAAGGACCUGAAGGAGUUCCAGAAACUUCUGCGUCGCCGACACACUGUCGAUGACUGCCCUCCAAACCAAAAGAGUAAACAAAUGUAUCAUCAGUUGAGUUUGAAGGAAAACUGUUUGCAACCCCGAAGUCCUUCGACCGAUACUAGAGAGGGU